CCCGGCAGGCCCGCCAACUCGUAGCGGCCGGAGCAGUUGGCUCGCUUCAGCUGGUGGGAGUCCCCGGUGUAGAGCACUAUUCCUAGGCCUCCAAGGUGUCUCCUCAAAGACUGGCUGACCCACUUUCCAGAUGGAGCCAACAUCAUCCUCUGUCUCAUCCAUAAAUCAUGAACAGAAGGCCCAGGAAAUGAGAAGCGGAGUCCCCACUGGGAGAGUAGCAGAGCUUCCAGCAUGAGGCCCACAACGAGAUCACAGAAGCACAGCAGAAUUCUCCAGAAAGCCAGUUGUGAUCAAUGGCAGCACAGCCUGGUCCCACAGGAAAUGUUCCUGAAUUCCUUUUUUGGAAUCUUUUUCCUUAUUUAAACUUGUCAUUUGAGCAGCUGAAGUAAAAAUAUGGGCCAGGACCCUCUUCUUAGUGAGAAAAUCACUUCCUACCUUCACCCCAACAACAUCGUCACUAAAACAAAUCAAUAAAAACAGCCUCCAAUCAAAGGUCAAAGGAAACCAGAGGGAGCUAAGGGAAAAUGCACCAUUAAGUGGGCAGUUCAGCCUGGUCAUUCUAGCUCUUCCUUCUAAGAGCUUUAGUUUUAAUUCAUAAAUUAUCUCUUCCUGGUUUGGUUUGGCUUUUGUGUUUUUUUUCUUGCCAUAAAAGUGAUAAGGCAUGAAAUUCCAAGUUUAGGGUGUGAGCCUGGGGGAAAAAUUGCCAAGAAAACUAUUUGGUUGCCUUCAGGCUAGGCUUCUAAGUCUUAGGGGCAAAAAAAAAAAAAAGAAAAAAAAAUUCGUUGCUACUGCUCCUAGCUGAACGCACUAGACAGAGGGGCCAUGUCCAAGUUGGAGUCGAAAUUCUAACAAUUAACAAUAUGUGUGACUUGGGGGUGGUUUUCACCUCCUACACACAAAGCUGAAUGAGGACCCCAUUCAGUCUGGCUGGCCACAUUCUUUAUGACCAAGACUGAUUCAUACCUCCCACUGCCAUUGGAUGGCUGUGAGGUGGCAUGCAGGAGUCUUGCCUGUUACUGGGCAGGUUAGGCUAGGCACAUGCCCUCUGAGCCUGGGCUGGGCAGAUCUCUCAUACCAGGUACUCUGCAACUCAGAAGGACCACAGGGAACACAGGGGAACCAUGUGAGGACACAGUCAAACACAGGAGUAGGGGACCAAGACCAUGCAUCCAUCCUGAAUGGUUUUUUUGUUUUUUUUUUUGAGAUGGAGUCUCACUCUGUUGCCCAGGCUGGAGUGCAGUGGCGCAAUCUCGCUUCACCGCAACCUCCACUUCCGGAAGGGUUCAAGCAAUUCUCCUCCCUCAGCCUCCUAAGUAGCUGGGACUACAGGCACCUGCCACUAUGCUCAGCUAAUUUUUGUAUUUUUAGUAGAGAUAGGGUUUUAUCAUGUUGGCCAAGCUGGUCUUGAACUCCUGACCUCAGGUGAUCCACCCAUCUCAGUUUCCCAAAGUGCUGGGAUUACAGGCAUGAGCCACUGUGCCCGUUCUGUUCCUGUUCAAUGCAAACAGUGCUUUUUCUUGAGGUCUGACCACUGGACAACAAGAGUCAAGUGCCAGUCACCAAGAUUUUGAAACUCCAAAUUUGUUUUUGUUUUUGUUUUUGCUUUUUGUUUUCGAAUCAUUGUAAGCAAAAAUCUCAGUUAACAAACUCGGAUAUAUAUGGAGUAUGGUUUUAAAUACUCUAGAAGCUAAAUUUUUACUUUAAUACUUCAUCUGAAUGAGCAAAUCAGAAAUUCAGCCU
rnacentral:lncRNA from 1 species